UACGAAGGGGGCUAGCGUUGCUCGGAUUUACUGGGCGUAAAGGGCGCGUAGGCGGAUGACCAAGUUGGGGGUGAAAUCCCGGGGCUUAACCUCGGAACUGCCUCCAAAACUGGUCGUCUUGAGUUUGGGAGAGGUGUGUGGAACUCCGAGUGUAGAGGUGAAAUUCGUAGAUAUUCGGAAGAACACCAGUGGCGAAGGCGACACACUGGCCCAAUACUGACGCUGAGGCGCGAAAGCGUGGGAGCAAACAGG
rnacentral:rRNA from 1 species